rnacentral:lncRNA from 1 species
UACAUUCUAGCCUUAUAAAUUUAGCUAGACAUGGUAAAGUAAAAGUGCAUUAAAAUAAAUAAAAGUAGUGCGAGUGCGGAAAGUAAAUAAUUUAAAGCGAGUGCGAGGAAAUAAAUAAAUUAAAGCGAGUGCGGGAAAUAAAUAAAGUAAAAGCGAGUGCGGGAAAUAAAUAAAAUAAAAGCGAGUGCGGGAAAUAAAUAAAGUAAAGGCGAGUAAUAAAAACCUGCUCCAAUCGGAGGGCUGAGUAAAUUGCAAUGCGGAAAAG